rnacentral:miRNA from 6 species
AGCUGCCUGAUGAAGAGCUGUCC